rnacentral:rRNA from 1 species
AUGGACGCGCAGCGUGCUCUGCUGGACGCGCUGAUGGGGUCGUCGCGGGACCUGACGGAGGAGGAGAAGAAGGAGCACCGUGAGGUGGCGUGGGACGACCCCGACGUGUGCGCCCCCUACAUGGCCCGCUUCUGCCCCCACGACCUCUUCAUCAACACCAAGAGCAACCUCGGAGUAUGCCCAAAGAUCCACGACCCGGCCCUAAAGCAAAGCUUCGAGUCCUCCCCCCGCUACGCCGCCGCCCUCCCCAAAUUUGAGGCCGACCUCGCCCACCGCUGCGAGAGGCUGGUCCAGGACCUGGAUAAGAAGAUCAGGCGCGGCCGCGACAGGCUGGCUCAGGACGUCGUCGAGCUGUCGCCCCCUGCUGCCCACGCCGAAAAGGUCGAGCAGCUCUCCAUCCUCGAAGAGAAGAUCAAGAAGCUGCUCGAGCAGAUUGAGCAGCUCGGCGACACCGGCAAGAUCGACGAGGCCACCGCCCUCAUGAGGAAGGUGGACAUUCUCAACCUCGAGAAGUCGGCUCUCACCCACCAGAUUGAGACCAAGCUCUCCAUGGUCCCGCAAGAGAAGAAGAUGGAGCUCUGCGAGCAGUGCGGCUCCUUUCUCGUCACCAACGACGUCCUUGAGAGGACGCAGUCCCAUGUCACUGGCAAGCAGCACAUUGGUUAUGGUCUGGUCAGGGAAUUCCUCGCAGAAUACAAGGCUGCGAAAGAAGCGGAGAAGCUUGCAAGGGAGAAGGAAGCAGAGGAGCGUCAGAACCGGGAGAGAGGAUACCAUAACAGAGGCCACCGCGACGACUAUAGGGAGAGAUCCAGGGAGCACGACCGUGACCGCUACUAUGAGCGGAGCCGUGACAGAGAGAGGCCCUAUGAGCAGGGAGGUAGAGGGUCGGACUAUAGAGGCGGUUCCUAUAACAGCCGGAGGGAUUCUGAAAGGGCGAGGCCCAGAGACAGGAACGGUGGUGAUUUUUCAAGAAGAGGAGACCCGGGGAGGAUGAGGAGCAGGUCCCGGUCUCCGGGCAGGCAUGGUUAUUAA